rnacentral:rRNA from 1 species
CCUUGUACACACCGCCCGUCACACCACGAAAGUUGGCAAUACCCGAAGCCGGUGGGCUAACCUCUUUGAGGAGGCAGCCGUCGAAGGUAGGGUCGAUGAUUGGGUG